AGUAUCUUCCUCCCCCUCCCCGACACUUCAUCUUCUCCAAACGUAUGCUUUUACCGUUACUUUCUCAAUCAAUGACGCUGUCAAAGCUAUUCUUCAAUGUUGUGGUCCAUCUCCCCUUGAUACUUCUCUUAUAUAAAUCUCUGUCUCAAAACCUAAAGCCACCCUAAAUUAAAAAACCUAAUCUGCAAAAAAUACAUUCAUGGCAAUGAAAUAGUCUCAGCUUAUCACCAUAAAAUCUCCCGUCGCCAUGUGUUUCAACGACAUCUCACCAUGAUGAUCUGAGUCACAGCUUCAAUUCAGGAAACAAAUCUCGGACGCCUAGAUCUGGAAGCCAUGAAGCAUCUGAACCCAAAACUACGACUAAUGUUCACAGGGACGGCAAUGACGGACGAUAGAGAAGAAGGGACAACAAUCGUUGAGAUAUUAAAAAAAAAAACAGCCUUUAGAUAGAAUACUCCUAGGAGGGAGACAAAAAUGAGAGGACUAAAUCAUCUUCAGAUGCUCGAACCAGUGCUCGUGCUUGAAUCGACCAUCCUUGCUUCCGCCUUCCGGUUGGUUUAAAGAAAGGUGCAGCCAAGUGUGUAAGAAAUCUAAGGUGUCUAAUGCUAACUUCCACUGGACACAACUUCAAUGGAUGGAAACCAUACCUAUGGUCUGAAUUAUUAACCCUUGAGUUGCUUAGCAAGUGAUGCUUAGAACUGAACCAACAACUAAGCUCACAUUUGCAGUCUCAGUGUUUAUGAUUUUCGCUCCUGGUUUGUAGAGACAGAGGGUAAAAGCUAUGAUCGGGUCAGUCGAACAGAGAUCGCGAUGUUGGUGAGAUUACAAGUUUGGAUUAGACAAGGUCAUAAUUGAUGGGCUACAGAUAUUCAAAUUGUCCUAUUCUUUUUUUUUAAGUUCAACCACAAGAAACUUUUAAUCAUUUCGCCGAUUGCUGUAACAUCCACAAAUUGAUUAUCACGGACAAUACUGCAGGGAGCAAUUGUUUGUGUAGGAGAACCAAAGGCUUCCGAGCUCCAGAGGAUUCCUUCUGACGUGUGGUCAGCAGGAGUAAGAUUAACUUUGUCUCAUUGAUUUGUUAGGAUUGCAGAGCCUGGUUUGUUAAUCCUCUCUCUUUUAUACCAAAUUAGUUUCUGCUCUAUUGAACAUAAUUGCAUUUCCAUUUUCUCUUCCUGGACAUUGAGAGAUCAUGAAGAAUUCGAGGUUAAGAUCAAUGGUUUAGUUGAAACUGCACCAGUUCCUGAAGAAGUCUAGAAUAUCCACUACGGUACUCUUUGGCCCGGUAAUAAUGUGCCAUGAUCAAGGUCUUCCUUGGAAACAAAGGUCUUAACGAUGUAGAAAACUACGAGCUCCCUAGGCUGGUUUAUGUUCUCGUGAGGAGGGAGCCCAGAUCCGACCAUCUUAAGAAGGUUGAAGAAAUAACUUUAUUGGUAAACGAUUAAGCUUAAUCUUUGAUUGUAUUAUUUAAACUGAAAUAUAAUGUUCUCUCGCAAACUUAACUGUGAUUACUACAUCAACAAUAGCAAAGCUCACAGAAGCAAUGUGUUUCCCAAA